GCUGGGCAUGGUGGUGCGUGCCUGUAGUCCCAGCUAUGCCGGAAGCUGAGGUGGGAGGAUCGCUUGAGUCCUGGAGUUCUGGGCUAUAGUGCACUAUGCGCAUGGGGUGUCCGCACUAAGUUUGGCAUCAAUAUGGUAAUCUCCCGGGAGCAGGGGACCACCAGGUUGCCUAAGGAGGGGUGAACCAGCCCAGGUCAGAAACAGGGCAGGUCAAAACUCCCAUGCUGAUCAGUAGUGGGAUCGCACUUGUGAAUAGCCACUGCACUCCAGCCUGGGCAACAUAGCGAGAGCCCCGUCUCU
rnacentral:SRP_RNA from 1 species